rnacentral:rRNA from 1 species
UUGGAGGGCAAGUCUGGUGCCAGCAGCCGCGGUAAUUCCAGCUCCAAUAGCGUAUAUUAAAGUUGUUGCAGUUAAAAAGCUCGUAGUUGAAUUUCGGAAUCAAUAUGUUGGUCGUGCCAUUGGUACGUACUGGCAUUAUUGGUUUCUACCUUCUGAAGAACCUCGAUGUCAUUAAUUUGGUGUCUUGGGGAAUCAGGACUGUUACUUUGAAAAAAUUAGAGUGUUUAAAGCAGGCUCGCGCUUGAAUACAUUAGCAUGGAAUAAUGAAAUAGGACGUCUGAUUCUAUUUUGUUGGUUUCUAGGAUCGACGUAAUGAUUAAUAGGGAUAGUUGGGGGCAUUAGUAUUCAAUUGUCAGAGGUGAAAUUCUUGGAUUUAUUGAAGACUAACUACUGCGAAAGCAUUUGCCAAGGAUGUUUUCAUUAAUCAAGAACGAAAGUUAGGGGAUCGAAGACGAUCAGAUACCGUCGUAGUCUUAACCAUAAACUAUGCCGACUAGGGAUCGGAUGAUGUUAAUUUUUUAAUGACUCAUUCGGCACCUUACGGGAAAC